rnacentral:rRNA from 1 species
ACUGCUCAGUAACACGUGGAUAACCUGCCCUUGGGUCCGGCAUAACCCCGGGAAACUGGGGAUAAUUCCGGAUAACGCACAUAUGCUGGAAUGCUUUAUGCGUAAAAUGGAUUCGUCUGCCCAAGGAUGGAUCUGCGGCCUAUCAGGUAGUAGUGGGUGUAAUGUACCUACUAGCCAACAACGGGUACGGGUUGUGAGAGCAAGAGCCCGGAGAUGGAUUCUGAGACAUGAAUCCAGGCCCUACGGGGCGCAGCAGGCGCGAAAACUUUACAAUGCGGGAAACCGUGAUAAGGGGACACCGAGUGCCAGCAUCAUAUGCUGGCUGUCCGGGUGUGUAAAAUACACCCGUUAGCAAGGGCCGGGCAAGACCGGUGCCAGCCGCCGCGGUAACACCGGCGGCCCGAGUGGUGAUCGUGAUUAUUGGGUCUAAAGGGUCCGUAGCCGGUUUGGUCAGUCCUCCGGGAAAUCUGACGGCUCAACCGUUAGGCUUUCGGGGGAUACUGCCAGGCUUGGAACCGGGAGAGGUAAGAGGUACUACAGGGGUAGGAGUGAAAUCUUGUAAUCCCUGUGAGACCACCUGCGGCGAAGGCGUCUUACCAGAACGGGUUCGACGGUGAGGGACGAAAGCUGGGGGCACGAACCGGAUUAGAUACCCGGGUAGUCCCAGCCGUAAACGAUGCUCGCUAGGUGUCAGGCAUGGCGCGACCGUGUCUGGUGCCGCAGGGAAGCCGUGAAGCGAGCCACCUGGGAAGUACGGCCGCAAGGCUGAAACUUAAAGGAAUUGGCGGGGGAGCAC